CCCUCAUAUCCUUUGCUGUUUAGCUUCCCCAAUUGAUGCGCCGUCCUCUUCUCCUUCCAUCCCUCCCUGCCAAUCCCUUGAUCUCCCAUCAUAAACACACAUGAAACAGAUGGCGGAAUGCGAACAUCACCUGUCGAUGGAUCUUCUUUCUCAUCUCCUUUCGGUGACGGACGAAUUGGAGGCCAUGCUGCCACCACGAGGCGGCUGCAUCUUCUUCCUCCCCAGUGCAGGCGACACAUAGGAACAACACCUCACCGAGCACCACCUCCCCUAUGGUGAGGCACUGGUCGUGGAGGUGGACCUGCUGGCGCUCCUCCACGCUGCCGCCGACGAGUUGUCCCACCUAAUCCUUGCGGGGACAUAGCAUCCAAUACCAUGCGAUGCAUCAGCAUCUGGCCAUGAGGCCAAGGCGGAGAUGACUUGUCGUUGUUCGCAAGAAAAAGGCCAUGGAGCCUUAUACACAUUUAAGGCUGAAGAAUAGACCACUCCAACUGGUAUCUCUGCACCGGGUUCCUCUUCUGCUAAACGUACAGCAUUUUAUGGACGCUGAUGGGAAAGUUUACAUGGACAUGAGGUACUGCUUUCAGAUAAGGAAAGACUAGGGAAGAGCAGCCUAACUAAAAAAUAGCCUAUACUACUUUUGGUUCUACAUUGUGCCGAAGGUAUGACUAGCUGGCUUCAAGGACGUUCCAGGUAAUCAACGAUCUGAUGAUCUCGAGUGAAGUAGAUCUCUGAAUCCUAAUUGCUUGAAAUAUCUGAAUUUGCAUGUUAUUCUAUCUGAACAAUUAACCUGCCUGCCUUAUCAGCUAUCACAUGUUGCGCUAUCUCCUCUCUGUUGCACUGGCGAGUGAGCAGGUCGCCAUCCCUUACACAGGAUCUAGCCAUCGUCUGCGUUGUAGGCAUUGUCACACACUAAUUGUUUUUUGCUGGUUGGAAAUAGAUUCGUUUGGAUGGUUUGUGUGCUUCUGCUUAUUUAAAAUUUGAUUAUUCUUUGAUUAUUUGUUUUGAUUUAAUUAGUAAUACCAACAGCUUGGCGCUACAUAUGUCUACUAAAACGAAGUAACCCACUCUCAUGUUGUUUGUGCAGAUUUUGUUUUUUCAUGUCAAACGAGGUAGUUAAUGAAAAUUCAAUUCAAGCAGGCUGCAAGUAAGGUGGACCGGUGUAAUCUUUAUAAGGAAGUUAUUAGUACAACAAAGCAGAAAAGCAAAGACAUGGUAGACAACAUCCAAAGGAGAAAACUAACAAACGUUCAAGUAAUUUGUCGGCGAGAGUCUUAUUUGGCUGUCUUUCUCAUGUAUCAACUUGAUUUUCUUGCCUUGAAUUCCUUGCAGUAUAAAUAUUUUGGCAUAUUUAGAUGUAGUAUAUUGGUGCUUGCAGUUGAACUCCACAACAAUGACACAUUAUCAAUGCCAUUUGUUUUCACAUUAAGAGGCUUUGUACAAUUGUUCACUUAUUA